GACGAACGCUGGCGGCGUGCUUAACACAUGCAAGUCGAACGGUGACGCCCCAGCUUGCUGGAGUGGAUCAGUGGCGAACGGGUGAGUAACACGUGAGCAACCUGCCCCUGACUCUGGAAUAAGCGCUGGAAACGGCGUCUAAUACUGGAUACGAGAAGGGUCCGCAUGGGCACUUUCUGGAAAGUUUGUCGGUUGGGGAUGGGCUCGCGGCCUAUCAGCUUGUUGGUGAGGUAAUGGCUCACCAAGGCGACGACGGGUAGCCGGCCUGAGAGGGCGACCGGCCACACUGGGACUGAGACACGGCCCAGACUCCUACGGGAGGCAGCAGUGGAGAAUAUUGCACAGUGGGCGGAAGCCUGAUGCAGCGACGCCGCGUGAGGGAUGACGGCCUUCGGGUUGUAAUCCUCUUUCAGCAGGGAAGAAGCGAAAGUGACGGUACCUGCAGAAGAAGCACCGGCUAACUACGUG
rnacentral:rRNA from 1 species